UCGAGGAUCUUCGGCAAUGGGCGCAAGCCUGACCGAGCGACGCCGCGUGUGCGAUGAAGGCCUUCGGGUUGUAAAGCACUGUCGAGAGAAAGAAAGCCGCAAGGUUGAUCGAUCUCUGGAGGAAGCACGGGCUAAGUUCGUGCCAGCAGCCGCGGUAAGACGAACCGUGCGAACGUUGUUCGGAUUCACUGGGCUUAAAGGGCGCGUAGGCGGGUGAUCAAGUCCGGGGUGAAAUCCUCCAGCUUAACUGGAGAAUAGCCUUGGAUACUGGUCGUCUUGAGGGAGGUAGGGGCAUGUGGAACUUCCGGUGGAGCGGUGAAAUGCGUAGAUAUCGGAAGGAACGCCGGUGGCGAAAGCGACGUGCUGGACCUCUUCUGACGCUGAGGCGCGAAAGCCAGGGGAGCAAACGGGAUUAGAUACCCCCGUAGUCC
rnacentral:rRNA from 1 species